ACAACGCCUCACGUAACGGUGAAACCGCGAAUGGCUCAUUAAAUCACAYUCUAGAGUCUACUGUGAUAGUUAACAGUUACUUGGAUAACUGCGGUAAUUCUGGARCUAAUACAUGCACAAACGCACUCGAACUUACUUGAGAGGCAGCUUUUAUUAUGUAUCAAAACCAAACAGCUUUUCCAAGCGUUGUUCUCUGGUGACUCUGAAUAACUUUGGGCUGAUCRCAUACCCUUGCSCUGGCGACAUAUCCUUCGAAGGUGUGCCCUAUCAACUGUCKACUGUGGMAUARACUCCCACRGUGGUUUUGACGGGUAACGGGGAAUCAGGGUUCGAUUCCGGAGAGGGAGCCUUAAAAACRGMUACCACAUCUAARGAAGGCACCAGGCACGCAAAUUACCCAAUGACCGAAGGUCRAGGUAKUGACAAAAAAUAACGAUACGGGACUCAUCCGAGGCCCCGUAAUCGGAAUGAGUACACUUUAAAACCGUCCCCGAGGAUCUA
rnacentral:rRNA from 1 species